UCUCGAUUGGUCUAGUGGUAAGGAUACCUGCUUGUCAUCGAUCCAAUUGAUCGCAGGUGGCCGGGGUUCGAUUCCCCGAUCGAGAG